CAAAAUAUUUUUCUGGCAGCCCCUUUUUGCGCAAGUUUCAGUUGACUUCAACGGUGUGUUGUUAUUGUCAGAGUGAAUAGAUAGUUAUUGUAUUUAAAUUUAAAACAAGUUCGUUUGAUAAAGUUUGAUAGAGAUAGAUAAAAUGAAGUGCGUUUUGUGUAAUAACAAAAAACAAAAAACAGUAAGGAAUGUGAGUUUUUUUCGGUUCCCGAAGAAUCCGAUUCAGACAGUGGAUGGAUUUUUGUUGUCUCCCAGCAGACUAUUUCAUUGACGAAAACACCCGACUGUGCAGUCUUCACUUCAAUUACGAGCAAGACCUGUACGUGGCCACAGCCGGCGGGAGGCUAAGAGCUAUGCCGGGUGUGCUCCUGGUUUUCCAAAUUGUGCCGGAUUUCAGUGAAACAAACCAGGACGAUUGCAUGGAAGAGCCUUCUUGCGACGUUGAAACUGUUGCUGCUGCUGAGACUUCUGCUGUUGCUGGGACUAAUAAGCGGGAGCUAAUAAGUUUGACAGCCGUUCCAUGGCAGUAUAGCUUAUGUCGUAGUUUCUUGCGUAUAAAACAUAAAAAAUUGAAAUUGAGGCAAAUAAACUGUUUUUCGUACUUUUGUCUAAUUGUU